rnacentral:lncRNA from 1 species
GGAGAAGAGCCACGGGAAAGUAAAAAGAAAGUUGAGAAUGAAAAUGAGACGGGGGAAGUGGCUAAAGAAGGAGGAGAAUCUUUGGAGGGAAAAGAAGAGUUGGGGUUGACCUUAAAUGAAAAGGAGGGUGGAGUUAAAGGGGCUUUAGUGACAACUAACAUUUCCCUCCCUCGCUUUGCUAUAUCUGUUUUGCAGGAUUUUGAAAAUUUAGUCCAUGUCGAUGAGCCAAUUGGAAUCCUUUACAACCCAGGAAUUGAUUAUCAGUUGGUGGAUAAAAUUCAACUACAUCCUGGCUUGGACAUUCUCAUGACACCGCAAGUUGAAUUUGUGAUCCCCGAAGAAGUACAGAAGUUGCCAUGGAAGGAACUCAUAUGCAGUGGUUGGUGAGAGAAAGAUGAUAUGAAGGGCAACGUUGACACAUUGGGCAUGACAUUACUUCAAGUGCUUGGGUCAAGUCAAGUAAGUAGAACGCAUGGAUAUUCAUCAAAUGGAGUUGUCAUUGGAGCAAUUCAAACUUGCAAGAUCAAGCAGUCAAGACGAGCACAGUUUGAUCCAAGUGAAGGUGAUUGGACUUACAUAUGCAAGAGGAGGAUCGAGUUCAAAAAUGGUCCAAAUUCCAUCCGAGAGGUGAUGGACCAUUUCAUGUGCUUGCAUUGAUCGGAGAUAAGGGCUAUAACUUGGAUGUUGAAGGUUUGGAUUCGAGGUCGAAUCCUUUCGAAGACAGGGAGAAUGAUGUGAUCCAAGAUGGGCUUCAAAAUUCUAGAGAAUUGAUGAAUGUUGGCGAGAGGUCAAGAGUAAGAUUAGAGCUUAAUUGGAGGGGUAAUUGGGCUGAAUUUCAUAUAUCCCCACAAAGUUAAGGGCUGCUGGAUGAAUUAAAAAGUAGAGGCUUGCUGAAUUUAAUAUGCUCACAUGCAUGCAGAGAAAAAAGAGUAGAGAUUAAGGUAGCUGCUUGAGGAAUUAAUGGCUCCUGAAAUCGUAUAAUAUUUACACACGGAAAUUAAGGCAGUUUUGGGACCAGCUUUCCUGUUUUGGCAAGUUACCUUAUUGCUUUAAGUUACCAAUGUUUUGUCAUCUCACAUCCGAGGAGGAAG